CUUAAAGGGAAAGUUCAUUUUAAUUACUUACCAAUCAAGUAAAUUACAAGAGCAACUAUUUGGCUUUCAUAAAAUGCAUAUAUAUUACAAAGCAUGUCCUUGUUUUUAUGUUAUUUUUCUUAGUAUUGAAUAUAACAAGAUAGAUACUUGUAUUGGGAUAUAAAUAAUUAACAUAGUGGCAAUAAGCUAAUCUUAAGGAGCAUAGCCACCUCCAUGGCCACCACCGACACCACUCCCGCCACCUGCUCCAUAUCCUCCUCCAUGCUCACCUCCUGCACCAUAACCACCGCCGCCGCCACCUCCAGAGCCACCACCUCCACCUCCACUUCCAUUAGAGCCCCCACCUACUCCACCUCCAUGACCAGUUCCUUCUCCUCCACCACUACCAAAUCCACCUUUAUGGGUUCCUCCAGCUCCACCACCACCGCCACUACCACCACCUCCACCACCUCCAUAUCCUAUACCACCAGCACCAUAACCUCCACCAAAUCCAGCUCCUUCACCUCCACCAUAGCCAGCACCACCUGAACCAGACCCAACUCCACCUCCCCCACCACCUCCCCCACCACUACCACCACCACCACCACCAUUCUCUCCUCAAGCUCCAACACUCUGACUCCCACCCCACCUCCUCUCUUUUCCUCAAACCCCGCACGUCCAUCUCUACCGCCACAAAUACUUCUCUCUCCCUCUCCAUAUCUUCUUCCUCCUCCACCGCUACCACUUUCUCUAUCUCCCCCACCACUUCCAUUACUCCUUCAGCUUCCCAAACUUUUUCCCUUGACCUCCUCCGCCAGCACCUCUCCACCCAAAACCUCCGCCAAGCAGAUGAAGAAACUCGCCGCCUCCUCAUAGUCUUGGCAGGUGAAGCUACACAGAAGCGUGGGUAUGUCUUCUUCUCUGAGGUUCAGUUCAUAUCAGAGAAAGACCUUAAAGCGAUUGAUGAACUAUGGAAACAAUACAGCAACAACAAGUUUGGAUACAGUAUUCAAAAGAGAAUAUGGCAGAAAAACGCUGGCAAAGACUUCACCAAGUUUUUCCUCAAGGUUGGGUGGAUGAAAAAGCUUGAUACGGAGGUUGUGCAAUACAACUACAGAUCUUUCCCUAAUGAAUUCAUCUGGGAGCUCAAUGAUGACACUCCUGAAGGACACUUGCCUUUGACAAAUGCCCUUAGAGGGACACAGCUCCUCAAUAGCAUUCUUAACCAUCCUGCCUUUGAAGAUAUCAAAGAAGAAGAUGAAGUUGAUGGAGAAAAUAAACAUGGAAAACCUGAUAAUGGGUUGAGGGAGGAGGAGAACUCAUCAAAGCCAUUGAGCAAGAGAUUGUUUAAACCAAAUUAUAGCUUUUGAUUGAGUCAUUUGAUAAUUCAAGCAACAUACCCAUUACAGUGAAAAAAGAAAAUGGAAUCAUGUUUUUUAAUAUAUGCAAUGCAAACUACGUUUUCUGUAAUUUUUAUCUGAUAAAUGUUCCUUGCCAU
rnacentral:misc_RNA from 1 species